rnacentral:lncRNA from 1 species
UCCAAUUGCGUGCGCGUAUGGAUGCUCCUUUCCCCGCCGCCUUUCUAGCAACUAGUUGAUGUUAUGAUGCAUCGUUGGUCCGGCGUACGAUGGCGCCUGGUGCGAUGUAUGCGUCCGGAAGCCCUUUCAGCCUCCAGGCAUGUCCCCACCUGCCUCACAGCCACCGACGCAUCUCACGGCGGGGUUCCAAUUGCGUGCACGUAUGGAUGCUCCUUUCCCCGCCGCCUUUCUAGCAACUAGUUGAUGUUAUGAUGCAUCGUUGGUCCGGUGUACGACGGCGCCUGGUGCGAUUUAUGCGUCCGGAAGCCCUUUCAGCCUCCAGGCAUGUCCCCACCUGCCUCACAGCCACCGACGCAUCUCACGGCGGGGUUCCAAUUGCGUGCGCGUAUGGAUGCUCCUUUCGCCGCCUUUCCAGCAACUAGUUGAUGUUAUGAUGCAUCGUUGGUCCGGCGUACGACGGCGCCUGAUGCGAUUUAUGCGUCCGGAAGCCCUUUCAGCCUCCAGGCAUGUCCCCACCUGCCUCACAGCCACCGACGCAUCUCACGGCGGGGGUCUAAUUGUGUGCGCGUAUGGAUGCUCCUUUCGCCGCCGCUUUCUAGCAACUAGUUGAUGUUAUGAUGCAUCGUUGGUCCGGCGUACGACGGCGCCUGAUGCGAUUUAUGCGUCCGGAAGCCCUUUCAGCCUCCAGGCACGUCCCCACCUGCCUCACAGCUACCGACGCAUCUCACGGCGGGGGUCUAAUUGUGUGCGCGUAUGGAUGCUCCUUUCGCCGCCGCUUUCUAGCAACUAGUUGAUGUUAUGAUGCAUCGUUGGUCCGGCGUACGACGGCGCCUGAUGCGAUUUAUGCGUCCGGAAGCCCUUUCAGCCUCCAGGCAUGUCCACACCUGCCUCACAGCCACCGACGCAUCUCACGGCGGGGGUCUAAUUGCGUGCGCGUAUGGAUGCUCCUUUCCCCGCCGCAUUUCUAGCAACUAGUUGAUGUUAUGAUGCAUCGUUGGUCCGGUGUACGAUGGCGCCUGAUGCGAUUUAUGCGUCCGGAAGCCCUUUCAGCCUCCAGGCAUGUCCCCACCUGCCUCACAGCCACCGACGCAUCUCACGGCGGGGGUCUAAUUGCGUGCGCGUAUGGAUGCUCCUUUCGCCGCCUUUCUAGCAACUAGUUGAUGUUCUGAUGCAUCGUUGGUCCGGCGUACGACGGCGCCUGAUGCGAUUUAUGCGUCCGGAAGCCCUUUCAGCCUCCAGGCAUGUCCCUACCUGCCUCACAGCCACCGACGCAUCUCACGGCGGGGUUCCAAUUGUGUGCGCGUAUGGAUGCUCCUUUCCCCGCCGCCUUUCUAGCAACUAGUUGAUGUUAUGAUGCAUCGUUGGUCCGGUGUACGACGGCGCCUGAUGCGAUUUAUGCGUCCGGAAGCCCUUUCAGCCUCCAGGCACGUCCCCACCUGCCUCACAGCCACCGAGGCAUCUCACGGCGAGGGUCUAAUUGCGUGCGCGUAUGGAUGCUCCUUUCGCCGCCUUUCCAGCAACUAGUUGAUGUUAUGAUGCAUCGUUGGUCCGGCGUACGACGGCGCCUGAUGCGAUUUAUGCGUCCGGAAGCCCUUUCAGCCUCCAGGCAUGUCCCCACCUGCCUCACAGCCACCGACGCAUCUCACGGCGGGGUUCCAAUUGCGUGCGCGUAUGGAUGCUCCUUUCGCCGCCUUUCCAGCAACUAGUUGAUGUUAUGAUGCAUCGUUGGUCCGGUGUACGACGGCGCCUGAUGCGAUUUAUGCGUCUGAAAGCCCUUUCAGCCUCCAGGCAUGUCCCCACCUGCCUCACAGCCACCGACGCAUCUCACGGCGGGGUUCCAAUUGCGUGCGCGUAUGGAUGCUCCUUUCC